UAGGGAAUCUUCCGCAAUGGACGCAAGUCUGACGGAGCAACGCCGCGUGAGUGAAGAAGGAUUUCGGUUCGUAAAACUCUGUUGUUAGAGAAGAACAGCGCAUAGAGUAACUGUUAUGCGUGUGACGGUAUCUAACCAGAAAGCCACGGCUAACUACGUGCCAGCAGCCGCGGUAAUACGUAGGUGGCAAGCGUUGUCCGGAUUUAUUGGGCGUAAAGCGAGCGCAGGCGGUCAAUUAAGUCUGAUGUGAAAGCCCCCGGCUCAACCGGGGAGGGUCAUUGGAAACUGGUUGACUUGAGUGCAGAAGAGGAGAGUGGAAUUCCAUGUGUAGCGUUGAAAUGCGUAGAUAUAUGGGGGAACACCAGUGGCGAAGGCGACUCUCUGGUCUGUAACUGACGCUGAGGAUCGAAAGCGUGGGUAGCAAACAGG
rnacentral:rRNA from 1 species